rnacentral:rRNA from 1 species
GAUGAACGCUGGCUACAGGCUUAACACAUGCAAGUCGAGGGGAAACGACGGGGAAGCUUGCUUCCCCGGGCGUCGACCGGCGCACGGGUGAGUAACGCGUAUCCAACCUGCCUCUGACUGAGGGAUAACCCGUCGAAAGUCGGCCUAAUACCUCAUGGCAUCGUCUGCGGGCAUCCAACGACGAUUAAAGAUUUCAUCGGUCAGAGAUGGGGUUGCGUCUGAUUAGCUUGUUGGCGGGGUAACGGCCCACCAAGGCGACGAUCAGUAGGGGUUCUGAGAGGAAGGUCCCCCACAUUGGAACUGAGACACGGUCCAAACUCAUACGGGAGGCAGCAGUGAGGAAUAUUGGUCAAUGGGCGAGAGCCUGAACCAGCCAAGUAGCGUGCAGGAAGACGGCCCUAUGGGUUGUAAACUGCUUUUAUGCGGGGAUAAAGUGAGGGACGUGUCCUUCAUUGCAGGUACCGCAUGAAUAAGGACCGGCUAAUUCCGUG